rnacentral:rRNA from 1 species
AAUCAACGCUGGCGGCGUGCCUAACACAUGCAAGUCGAACGCGAAAGGGGCUUCGGCCCUGAGUAGAGUGGCAAACGGGUGAGUAACACGUGGGUGACCUACCUUCGAGUGGGGGAUAACGUUCCGAAAGGAACGCUAAUACCGCAUAUUGUCCUGCCUUUGGAGAGGCGGUGAUGAAAGCCGGGGAUCGCAAGACCUGGCGCUGGGAGAGGGGCCCGCGUCCGAUUAGCUAGUAGGUGGGGUAACGGCUCACCUAGGCGACGAUCCCUAGCUGGUCUGAGAGGAUGACCAGCCACACUGGAACUGAGACACGGUCCAGACUCCUACGGGAGGCAGCAGUGGGGAAUAUUGCACAAUGGGCGCAAGCCUGAUGCAGCCAUGCCGCGUGUAUGAAGAAGGCCUUCGGGUUGUAAAGUACUUUCAGCGGGGAGGAAGGGAGUAAAGUUAAUACCUUUGCUCAUUGACGUUACCCGCAGAAGAAGCACCGGCUAACUCCGUGCCAGCAGCCGCGGUAAUACGGAGGGUGCAAGCGUUAAUCGGAAUUACUGGGCGUAAAGCGCACGCAGGCGGUUUGUUAAGUCAGAUGUGAAAUCCCCGGGCUCAACCUGGGAACUGCAUCUGAUACUGGCAAGCUUGAGUCUCGUAGAGGGGGGUAGAAUUCCAGGU